UUAGCUUGAGCUGUCAUAGCUCUGUCAAAUACGUCAAUUAGCUGCCGGCCAAGUGUGCCGGCUUACGAAAGAUAAUGAAAUUAAUAGUGAUAAAAAUGUAAUUAUUGAAAGUUGAACGGUCCAAAAAUGUGGAACACACCCUGCGGUAACUGCUUAAUUUUUGCGAUUCGCUGUUAUUUACGGGGAAUACAAAUUAGUCAACAGUAAGGCACUUUUUGAAUGUCUGCCCCGUGGAAAUUUACAAAAGUUGCUUCCAUCACUUCCGCAACUUGCAGAAAUUCUUUGGUAGGAUGAAGCAAAUUUCCUUUUGAAAUAAAGUUAAUCCAAUCUAGGUUAGAAGUUGAGGUGGAAGGAGCGUCAUUGUCUGGGCUAGAAUUACCGAGAUGUGGAUAUUUCGUCCUGAACCGAUGUGCUACAUAUCCAGUUAAAUACCGUAGUCCUUCAUGAUUGAUGAUUAUUUCUGGUGUAAUUAUGCUGGAAUCACCACCUUCACACAGGGAUGGAUCAUCAACAAAAUGAAUUUCAAUCCACUCACAAUUGAGCUCUGUAUCAAUAUCAAAACUUGAAGAUGUAUCUACAAUUGAAGCAAACAAUGGAGCAGUAAGACAAACUUCCUGUUGUUCUUCAUGGUCUUGUAAGGGGUUGGUUAAUUUAUCAUCUUCAUCUUCCUCACAGUUUUUAGAUUGAGUGAGAGCGCCUGAAGAAUUUUUUCCUAAAAUAUACCACCUCAAACGAUACAUAAAGCUAAUGGCAUCAGGGUUGGUAUUUACAGCACCCAUACUUCGCAUAUUAGAAAAAAAUUUUCUAAAACAUCUUGGUUCAAACGCCUAGUCAUGAUAUAUUCCAGGUUAUAAGUAGUUACAAGGUAGUGAUAUAGACCUUCCAAUGAUUUAUUGGUAAUGAUGAUUCCUUUUUGGAAUGGUAAUAGAGCACGGUGUCUUACUACUCUCAUUGCUGUCAUUACUUCAGUCAUUUUCUGGAUUAUCUUCAUCUGAUCAUUCAAGUUAACUCCAAAGGCACUUACUCCUUUUGCUGAAUAUUUUGAAGAUGUAUUCAGCAAGUCAAACCAAUUGUUCACCAACUCAAUAAAAUCAGAAAGUGUUUUAAAAUUGCUGCACUGGAUUAAUUUGUUUUCACCACAGUAGUCAAGUAGUUUGGCUGUCGUAUAUGAAAAUAAUUUAGCAGCACUUUUAACUUUUUGACGUUGUGACCUUUUAACAUCCAACAAGUCCUGGGUAACUUUAUGGCCAAUUCGCAAGUUGUUGUUUGUUCCGAGUUCAAUAGCAUCUUCAAUGUAUUUUUUGCCAUAAUUUUUGUUAUUUAAGCAGAAGCCGCUGUCAAUAAAGUGGUUUCGAAGCAGUUUCAGUAAGUGGGGAACGUCGGCAAAUGCAAAUACUAAUUUGCUCUCAUCAUUUGGGUGUUGAAAAAAUGAUUUUGAUAUAUUUAUGUUUAGUUCCCUCCACAAGCCUAAAUUCUGUGACCCCAUAUCACAUACAAUUGCAACAACUGUAUAAUCACACUCAUACAAAGUUUUGAUGAUAUGCAAUAACAGCGUUCUUGUCAUAGGGGUAUCAAAAUUAUAAUAUAUGGGUUGCUUCCAGGGGGAACAUAAACCGCGUGCCAUCACUACUUGUACUGCUCGGUGGGGUCCAAAAACUUGCUCUUUUUCUUUAUGAAAACAAUAUUGUUUGUCUAUGUACAUCUCAUCAAAUGAAAGUACCGUCAAUCUUGAAGUUUCAUUCAAAAUUUUGGCUUUCUUUUUCAUUAAUAAUGAGACGUCUUUCAAAACUCCAGGAUCGACACUAAACGUACUUGCCCACCUUCUUAAAGUGCUCAAAUCAGGAAGUGGAUAUUGACACUUCUCUCGUAAGUAUUUAUAAGCUUUCGGGCUAAUGCUCCUUAAAGAAAUUGCCGAUGCAAUGUCUUCGGCUGACCACUGGAUACGUUUUGUUUGUGUCACUAAUUUUUUUAUUUGACCAGGGGUAAAAAUUGUUUUUAACGUCUCUACAAUUUUUUGAUCCUCAUUUCUUGCCUUCAGUGCACCUUGGAGUGCUAGGUUUUCAUCUUUUAUAAGUUUUAGUUGGUUACUUAAUUUUUCAUAUUUCCUUGACAGUGUUAGGAAUUUCUUUUCCCAGAUUUGCUUUUGACUUUUAUAUCUUACGCACUGACACUUACGACAAGCUUUAAGGUCGUUUGAGGAGUCUAUUUUACUGCCACUAUUGUCAUUAUUUGUCGAUGCAUCAUAUUUUAAAGAUUGAAUAUCACUGUCAUUUAUAUUUCUUGAGGCACUUAAUGAAACGUUAAACAAAUUCUUUUUGCAAUGUUUUACAGGAAGCAACAGAGGCAAUGGAACUGAAGUCAUUACACAUUUACCAUUGUUACUUGAACCACUUUUAUCUGGAGUUUUUUUACUUAAACUGUUAUGGCUCAAUACAUUUGUAAAAGCCAAUGGCGAGUGUCCCGUUUUAUGUGGAGCCAAAGGACCCAGUAAUGUAGGUAUUGCUGUAUUUAAUAUUUUUCUUCUGUUUUUUGGGCUAUAGUUUAAUACUCUUUGUAGUCCUAGUUUCGUUUCACAUUUCUUUGUAAAAUGUAUUGAACACAUUCGAGCUAGUGAAAAAGUAAUAAAAUGAAAAACAAUGUUUAUUAAUUA